GUCAUGUUUAUUACUUUCAGGUGACUUGAAAGAUGGUAAAAAUAAGACCGACAGGAAGGAUCAAUCCAAUGUCGGAAGUGAUUCAAAGAAAACAGAUGGCACAAAGAAGCGCUCUCACGGUUCGCCAGCCCCAAGCACUAGCUCUGCAAGUCGCCUUACCUUGCCAGGGGACUACGGAUAAAACGUCCAUCCGGAGGAUUCCUCAGAAGAGAACUGACCAGCUCUGAGUCAUCAAGGCUCCUCUGCGUCAUUUUAAACGCCCUGCUUAUGCAUCUAGCUCCUACGUACCUUCGGUCCCAAAGAAAACUGAUGAGCAUCCUGCGAGGUACAAGAUGCUGGAUCAGAGGAUCAAACUGAAAAAGAUUCAGAAUAUCUCACAUAACUGGAACAGAAAAUAGGUCAAGGGGAAGAGAGGGAGUGAAGGGGAGACCCGCUCCUCUGCCUCUCAGCACUCACCAGCCACAGUGGGAUACGCUUCAGAGACCCUUGGAGGCCUUGGGGGCUGGUGCUUUUGUGGUCAACUCCACCAAGGCAAAGUGAAGGCCUUAUGGGAUUUUCCCCUUUGUUGUCCUGUUAUGCACCCAUCCGUCCCCGGAUCUGGGAGUCAACGCAGACUCCAGUAGUAAGAGUGUAGUUUCCUGUGGCUUUUAUUUGUAUAGAUCUUUCAAAGUCUAAAUCGGACCCGAAUUUAUAUGAUGCUCCCUCUUUAGAAAACUCCUCCCACUGAGAGUUCUUUUAUCCCUAGAAGUUGACUUGCCCCAAUAAGAAUAUUGGUUUAAUAAUCAUUUAAGAAAUGCACCUCUUAAAACAUCUUUUCCAAUUUUAAAUACAAUAGGAAAAGAUGUUUUUAGAAGUCCAUUCCUUAAAUACAGUGAUUAUUACAAUAUUUAAAAAUCAGGUAAAUAGGUAACUUUCUAAGUAAAUGCACUAAAGUUAAAAGUUGUGUUUCUGGAUAUAACAAUCACAGAGGGGAAAGAAGACUGAUGAGCAGUUGAAUUAUGGAGAAUUCUGAACUGAGGCUUCACAAAGCAGAUACAAGUCAAAAAUAAAGACCCUAGCUUUGGUUUUCA
rnacentral:lncRNA from 1 species